CGAUGACGUCUACGAUGAUGACGGUGACCCUGACUGUAAACCCCCAACCCCGCACCGUUGGUACGACUCUUUAAAAACAGAUUAUUAUGAAGAUGGGAUAAUCUACGCGUGAAAGGAGACUAACUGGCAAAGUAAACAAAUAAAUAAAAAGUAACUCUGAGUGACAGGUCGUUGAGCCGGAGUUAUUGAUAGAUUCCACAAAGCGAUACCGUUGGAUCGAUGUCUCCCCGCCGAGGGGUCCGCAGCCCCCCACCAGCUAAAGUGGUAGUGGUGGGGCUGGCGGUGCAGGUGGUGCAGGUGAGAGCCUGGCUGCUCUUCAUUACUUCACCCCUGACUAGCUCCGCUUGUUCAAAGUUAUCCCUCCCCCUGGGGUCCCUGCCGUCCGAUUGGCCUCCGUGGUGCUGCUUUUCGAAGAGGGAGACCAGCAGGCUCUUAGCGACACGACAAACUAAGAACAAAGAACUACGUCCGACUGAACGUGUGGCGAUAAGU
ensembl:lncRNA